rnacentral:rRNA from 1 species
UACAGAGGGUGCAAGCGUUAAUCGGAAUUACUGGGCGUAAAGCGUGCGUAGACGGUUAUUUAAGUCGGGUGUGAAAGCCCCGGGCUCAACCUGGGAAUUGCAUUCGAGACUGAAUAGCUAGGGUGCGGAAGAGGGAAGCGGAAUUUCCGGUGUAGCGGUGAAAUGCGUAGAUAUCGGAAGGAACACCAGUGGCGAAAGCGGCUUCCUGGUCCAGCACCGACGUUCAGGCACGAAAGCGUGGGGAGCAAAUAGG